CGCCCUUAGAGUUUGAUCAUGGCUCAGAUUGAACGCUGGCGGCAGGCUUAACACAUGCAAGUCGAGCGGUAGGGGAGCUUGCUCCCUACGAGCGGCGGACGGGUGAGUAAUGUCUGGGAAACUGCCUGAUGGAGGGGGAUAACUACUGGAAACGGUAGCUAAUACCGCAUAACGUCGCAAGACCAAAGAGGUUCGUCUUGCCAUCAGAUGUGCCCAGAUGGGAUUAGCUAGUAGGUGGGGUAAUGGCUCACCUAGGCGACGAUCCCUAGCUGGUCUGAGAGGAUGACCAGCCACACUGGAACUGAGACACGGUCCAGACUCCUACGGGAGGCAGCAGUGGGGAAUAUUGCACAAUGGGCGCAAGCCUGAUGCAGCCAUGCCGCGUGUGUGAAGAAGGCCUUCGGGUUGUAAAGCACUUUCAGCGAGGAGGAAGGUGGUGAGUAAUCUCAUCAAUUGACGUUACUCGCAGAAGAAGCACCGGCUAACUUCGUGCCAGCAGC
rnacentral:rRNA from 1 species